CACAUAGUUCCGUUUGAUAGAAAUACGUCCAAUUGCGGACGUUUUCGCGAAACGUGCGUGCGAAAAUCCAUUAGAACAUUGUAAUAAUAAUCUCUGUCCACCGUGGUUUUAUCGGUUGUUAUACGAAGUGCUGAUAAACCAUGCCCUCUGAAUCAAAAAAGGCAAUCAGCAUUUGUUGCCAAGUCGUUUUCGAUGGGGAGAGAUCACCGGAAAAGUUUGAUGAGUAAAACGAAAAGAAACAAACAGAAAAAGCGUCUUAUCAUAGCUCGCGUUGUGUUUGUAUUGCUCUCUGUGCUUUGAACUGGCUCAUUCUAUUUCUAAAAGUUUACUCUGUUUCGGACAACAACCUUGAUAUUGAUUUAUUUUUCUUCGUGAAAAAUGCUACAGUUCCUGUUUUACAUCGGCUUUGUCCUUCAAACAUCUGCAUUUAUUGCACCGCCUGAUGAAUAUGCUUGUCCAUUUCCCACCUCAAAACCAGAACUUGAUAGUUUACGACCUUUGGCGAAGAUUUACCAAGAUGAGAGAGAGGACGGGUGGUGGCCCUUUCGGGAGGUGGCCGGCCGUGAGUCGUUCGUCGAUAAAACGGAGUUCAUCAAACACUUCCUGGACACCCGCGAGCAGCUCGUCCUAGUGGCGCCACCCAACUUCGGCAAGUCCACCAACCUCCACAUGCUCAAGCACUUCUUUCAGAUCCCCGUCGACGCCAUGGGUGCCAACCUCACCUUCAACAUGGCGGAAAAAGGCACCUUCUUCGGCAAGCUCGCCAUCUGCAAGAAGCAUCCCUCCAUCUGCAGUGAUUAUCUAUCAAGCGCCCCGGUCGUGUUUCUAGACCUGGAGUCCGUGGUCGGCUCGACCCCGACGACGUUCCACGAGACGUUCCGCGCGGAGGUGGAGCGGGUGUUCCGGGCGCACGGGUACCUGGCCAAGAGCGAGCGACUUUCGGCGUUCAACAAGGAGGAGUUCGCGAGCUACGAGUCCCACCUCGGGGGCCCCGACCGGACGAUCGGCUUCUACAAGGACGGGAUCGACGUUCUGACCAGGCUCCUCUUCGUCCACCACCGGCGCAAGUGCAUCCUCCUCGUCGACAAUUUCGACCGCCUCGCCGUCGCAGCCAUGCUCGGCAAGGACGAGGAAUAUCAGCUCCCGACGGAGGUGGAGGAGAUCUACUUCUCGCUGGGGGAGACGGCGAAGCACUCGGCGUUCGUGUCUCGGACUUUGCUGACGGGGGUGUUCCGGAUGGGGAGUCACCGACAAGGGCACGACGACAACCUCCUCUACAAGUCCAUCUUCGCCGACCCGCAGAUCAGCCAGCAUUUCGGGCUCACCUUGGCCGAGGUUGAGGCACUUAUCGGGCGCUUGGGUCGGAGCAAGGACCAGGCUGCCGUGGAUCUCGAUCGGAUCAAGUACCACUUCGGCGGCUACAGGAUCUGCGACACACAGACCAAGAUUUUCAACACCGGAUCCGUUGUCGCGUAUCUGGAGGGGGAAGGAAUCAAAAUCCCUUCGCUGCCUCUCUUCCGCAUUUACAAACCAAUCUUCAGGUAUGAAAUGAUGGGCGAGCACCUUCACGAGGCUGUCGAAAAUGGAACGGAUUUGACACCACAAGGGGUGAUCUCAAUAACGGACCUAUUCCAGCUGCGACUGGCCGGCCACAUGACUGUCGCGAACUUCAAAGGGACCCGCAACAAGGGGCUCCUUGUGCAGCUUCUCCAAGAGGCUGGCUACUUCACGGUCACCGCUCGGAAACCCAAUGGAUCCGUCCAUCUUGAGAUCCCUUGCGUGGCCGUCAAGGAGGCUUACGAGGAUCUCGUCUACCAUAACGAGUUCUUCGUCACCGAGGAAGAGUGGAAGAAGGAACUCGCAGCUAACGCCACGAAAAAUAACCCACGUGACCAUAAGGGGAAGAAGAGUGGCUCAUGA
rnacentral:lncRNA from 1 species